AUUGAACGCUGGCGGCAGGCCUAACACAUGCAAGUCGAACGAGUGGCGGACGGGUGAGUCAUGUCUGGGAAACUGCCUGCUGGAUGGGGAUAACUAAUGGAAACGGUAGCUACUACCGCUUACCAUCGGCUUUGACCAGAUGGGAUUAGCUAGUAGGGGUGGUAAAGGCUCCACUAGGCGACGAUCCCUAGCUGAUCUGAGAUGAUGACCUGCCACACUGGAACUUAGACACGGGCCAGCCGCCUACGGGAGGAAGCAGUGGGGAAUAUUGCACAAUGGGCGCAAGCCUGAUGCAGCCAUGCCGCGUGGAUGAAGAAGGCCUUCGGGUUGUAAAGUACUUUCAGCGUGGAUGCGUGACCCGCAGAAGAAGCACCGGCUAACUCCGUGCCAGCAGCCGCGGUAAUUC
rnacentral:rRNA from 1 species